GCUUUAUUCAAAGUAAUGUCCAUCGCUAGCUACACAUUUCCCCCAUCUUUCAGGUCGAAGCUCAACCACUGAACCAGACUAACCAGGCUGUAGUUGAGUCUUGUUUGCUGUUGGCACUUCAGUGGGAGGGAUUUACCCAGGCUGAGGCAAGGACUGGCUGCAAGGACUGGCUGUGACCACUAACCACCGACUUCUAACAACCUUGGAGGAUCGGCUGUGCAGAGACCCACUGCAUAGAGCAGGACCUACUUCAGCAGGGCUCAGUCAGAAGUUAAGGAGACUUUCCUGCCUGGAACCCCUCACUCCUCAGGGGUGACCCCCACAGCCAAGGUAUACCUUUUCAUUUUUAUCCACCACACCUGGGUGUGGGACCAGCUCAUCCAUGCUUCCUCCCCUUCUACCAGUCUUGAUGUAGCUUCUUUUUUGUUGUUAUUGUUAAUCCUCACCUGAGGAUAUUUCUCCAUUGACUUUUAGAGAGAGUGGAAAGGAGGAGAGAGAGAGAGAGAGAGAGAG